rnacentral:tRNA from 1 species
GUCUUAGAAGCUUUUUAGAAGCAGUGGUCUUGUAAACCAAAGAAAGGUUAUUACCCUAAGGCU